GAAAGCCUGACGGAGCAAUACCGCGUGAGGGAAGAAGGCUCUUGGGUUGUAAACCUCUUUUCUCAGGGAAUAAAAAAAUGAAGGUACCUGAGGAAUAAGCAUCGGCUAACUCCGUGCCAGCAGCCGCGGUAAUACGGAGGAUGCAAGCGUUAUCCGGAAUGAUUGGGCGUAAAGCGUCCGCAGGUGGUACAACAAGUCUAGUGUCAAAGACCGGGGCUCAACCCCGGAAAGGCGGUGGAAACUGUUGAACUAGAGGGUCGUAGGGGUAGAGGGAAUUCCCAGUGUAGCGGUGAAAUGCGUAGAGAUUGGGAAGAACAUCGGUGGCGAAG
rnacentral:rRNA from 1 species